AUUGAACGCUGGCGGCAGGCCUAACACAUGCAAGUCGAACGAGUGGCGGACGGGUGAGUAAUGUCUGGGAAACUGCCUGAUGGAGGGGGAUCACUACUGGAAACGGUAGCUAAUACCGCAUACCAUCGGAUGUGCCCAGAUGGGAUUAGCUAGUAGGUGGGGUAAAGGCUCACCUAGGCGACGAUCCCUAGCUGGUCUGAGAGGAUGGCCAGCCACGCUGGGACUGUGACACGGUCCAGAGUCCUACGGGAGGGAGCGGGGGGGAAGAGUGCACAAUGGGCGCAAGCCUGAUGCAGCCAUGCCGCGUGUAUGAGGGAGCGCUUCGGGUUGUAAAGUACUUUCAGCGGGGAGGCGUUACCCGCAGAAGAAGCACCGGCUAACUCCGUGCCAGCAGCCGCGGUAAUAC
rnacentral:rRNA from 1 species